CGGGACGGGUGAGUAACACGUAGAGAACCUACCUUACACAGGGGGACAACGGCUGGAAACGGCUGCUAAUACCGCAUAAGCACCCAGUUUCGCAUGAAACAGAGUGAAAAGAGUAAAUCGGUGUAAGAUGGCUCUGCGUCUGAUUAGCUAGUUGGUGGGGUAAAGGCUCACCAAGGCGACGAUCAGUAGCCGGCCUGAGAGGGCGACCGGCCACAUUGGGACUGAGACACGGCCCAGACUCCUACGGGAGGCAGCAGU
rnacentral:rRNA from 1 species